rnacentral:rRNA from 1 species
GGAGUCCAGCAUGUGCGCGAGUCAUUGGGACAUAGCGAAACCUAAAGGCGAAAUGAAAGUGAAGGUCGGCCUCGCGCCGACCGAGGGAGGAUGGGACGCGUCACAGCGCGCGACCCCGCACUCCCGGGGCGUCUCGUUCUCAUCGCGAGAAGAGGCGCACCAAGAGCGUACACGCUGGGACCCGAAAGAUGGUGAACUAUGCCUGGUCAGGACGAAGUCAGGGGAAACCCUGAUGGAGGUCCGAAGCGAUUCUGACGUGCAAAUCGAUCGUCGGAACUGGGUAUAGGGGCGAAAGACUAAUCGAACCAUCUAGUAGCUGGUUCCCUCCGAAGUUUCCCUCAGGAUAGCUGGCGCUCGCCUUGCGAGUCUCAUCUGGUAAAGCGAAUGAUUAGAGGCAUUGGGGUCGAAACGGCCUCAACCUAUUCUCAAACUUUAAAUGGGUGAGAUCUCCGGCUUGCUUGAACGGUGAAGCCGCGAGAUCGGAUCAGAGUGCCAAGUGGGCCAUUUUUGGUAAGCAGAACUGGCGCUGUGGGAUGAACCAAACGCAGAGUUAAAGCUCCAAAAUCAACGCUCAUGGGAUACCAUGAAAGGCGUUGGUAACUUAAGACAGCAGGACGGUGGCCAUGGAA